UCCUACGGGAGGCAGCAGUGGGGAAUAUUGGACAAUGGGCGAAAGCCUGAUCCAGCCAUGCCGCGUGUGUGAAGAAGGUCUUCGGAUUGUAAAGCACUUUAAGUUGGGAGGAAGGGCAGUUACCUAAUACGUGAUUGUUUUGACGUUACCGACAGAAUAAGCACCGGCUAACUCUGUGCCAGCAGCCGCGGUAAUACAGAGGGUGCAAGCGUUAAUCGGAAUUACUGGGCGUAAAGCGCGCGUAGGUGGUUUGUUAAGUUGGAUGUGAAAUCCCCGGGCUCAACCUGGGAACUGCAUUCAAAACUGACUGCCUAGAGUAUGGUAGAGGGUGGUGGAAUUUCCUGUGUAGCGGUGAAAUGCGUAGAUAUAGGAAGGAACACCAGUGGCGAAGGCGACCACCUGGACUGAUACUGACACUGAGGUGCGAAA
rnacentral:rRNA from 1 species